rnacentral:rRNA from 1 species
UACAGAGGUCCCAAGCGUUGUUCGGAUUCAUUGGGCGUAAAGGGUGCGUAGGUGGCAUGGUAAGUCGGGUGUGAAAUCCCGGGGCUCAACCCCGGAACUGCACUCGAUACUACCGUGCUCGAGUACUGGAGAGGAGACUGGAAUUUACGGUGUAGCGGUGAAAUGCGUAGAUAUCGUAAGGAAGACCAGUGGCGAAGGCGGGUCUCUGGACAGUUCCUGACGCUGAGGCACGAAGGUCAGGGGAGCAAACGGG